rnacentral:tRNA from 1 species
CGGGGUGUGGCUCAGCUUGGUAGAGUGCUCGGUUCGGGUCUGAGAGGUCGGGAGUUCAAAUCUCCCCACCCCGACCA